GAAUAUACCAGAUGGCUUUGUGGAGCCCAGCUGUCACCCAGGCCACCGUGUGUAUGAAGUGACCACUAAGCAGCUCUGGACAGAGUAUUGGAAGAUUGGGUGUUUUUGUGGGCUGAGAAGAAACUUGAGGGAAACCUGGAAUCUCUUACCAAUCAUUGAUCACCCGCCUACGAGUUGAGUACCAGAAUGGGUAUGUGGCGAUCAGAAGAUAACCUGGAGUGUUCACUCACUCCUUCAAUGUGAGACCCAGGGAUCAAACUCACGUCCUCAGCACUUGACAGCAAGUGCCUUUACUUUGCCCCUGAGCCAUCUCACUGACUCUGGCACGCCAUAUAUUUAAUCAGUAACUUUUUUUUUCUUGUUAGUAAUAAAUAAUGAAUAAAUAAAUAAAUAAUGAUGCUUCUUUGUC
ensembl:lincRNA Gm14216 predicted gene 14216